CAUUACGGCCUAUACAACACACUGUUUCUCUCACAGUGAAGACACCUAGAAACACACCCUAAAGAACACACUCUUGAUGAGGCCCCGUCUAUAUUCCUUUGAUAAGGUUCAGGAAUAUAGUAUUUUGGAUUCAUUACGAAACCACAUCGAGCUGUAGAAACACUUUAGUACACUUUGCAGGCCCUUAGGGGGCGCUGCUUCUGCUACAGAAGUCCAGCAAAAAAAUGAAGAAGAAGAGGCGAGCAUGCGCGUAAAGCCUGCGCGCUGUUUACAAGCAGAGGGCCCUAUUUUAAGAGUCUGAAAUGGAAGUGAGAAGCGCCAAACGCAAGUAGCUUUGUGGGCGGUUCUAUGGCAACGUUGCUAUUAUACUGGCGGAUAAAUUACUCUUGCGCCUGACGCAAAUCUAAAAAGGGUUUCCCUGAAGUAGCCUAAUUACCCGUAGGUGUGGUUUGGGUGUAACAUGUUACAUGUAAGAUGUAAACGCAUGUCUACAACGACAUGCGUCGUUGUAGAAAGUCAAUUGCGCUGGAUGCAAGAUAGGGCCCACACAGUCCGAGAGGAACAAGUAACAUGGCGAAAACGAUCUUUUGCCUUCCGUUUUCCUUUGACGCGUUUCAGGAAUAUCUCCAUAAAGACGGACUCAUUGCGAAAAAGUAUUGAGCUGUAGAUACGCUGUAGUACAUACAUUCAGCCGAGGAGGUGAUGGCAGUUGUUAAACCUUUUAAAUUGAGCAAAAAAAAUUAAUUUCAUUUACCAAGGGGCUGUAUUUAAAGCUAUAAAAAAACCUACACAACUCUAACGUCGCCCAGCGGGUGGGGGGGCGAUGACGUCAUCGUUUGCGUUUCAGGUGUACACACGACUCCUAACACGAAACCGCAUAGGUCCUGUUUUAUUUGAAACCACCCUGGGACAUAGUUUCAGAAAAGUGUGUUUUCGGACACUGGAUUCAAAUAAUCCAGUCAUUUACUGACGCAAAUGACAUUUAAAAAUGUUUAGUUGAGUGAUUUCUAACUUAUGUUUGGAAGCAGAAGUUCAGCAGCAGAAGCAGCGGCCCGUAUGGGCCCUACUACAGCGUUUCAACAGCUCGAUGCAGUUUCGCAAUGAUUCCGUCUUUACGAAGAUAUUCUUGAACCGCAUAAAACAAUUGUUUUCGCCCGUGUGGACGGGGCCUGAAUCACACCCAACCGAACACACUCUGGCCUCACAGUGGAGACACAUAGAAUCACACCCUACAGAACACACUUUAUAGCCUCACAGUGGAGACACAUAGAAUCACACCCUACAGAACACACUCUAGUCUCAGAGUAAAGACACAUAGAAUCACACCCUACAGAACACACUCUAGUCUCAGAGUAAAGACACAUAGAAUCACACCCUACUGAACACACUCUAGUCUCAGAGUAAAGACACAUACAGGUAAGUAUAGGGCAUUGAAGAGCAGGUCGUUCAUUUGCAUACCAUUCUUCUAUUUUAGACACUGCAUCUGUAUGUUGUUUGUGUUCAUGACUGUAGAUUAUAUUGUCACGUUUAUUUAGUAUUGAAUGUAUAUGAAAUAUAUUGCUUAUUCCUCAUGUAUAUAUAUAUAUAUCCUAUUCUUUAUUAUAUUAUAUAUCUCUUAUAUUAUUUGGUUUCUGUUAAAUUAAUUUCAAUGUGAUUUCCCUGGGCAUUAUACUAAAUACAUAAUGAAUACACACACACACACACACACACACACACACACACACACACACACACACACACACACACACACACACACACACACACACACACACACACACACACACACACACACACACACACACACACACACACACACACACACAG